rnacentral:rRNA from 1 species
CAGAGGUCCCAAGCGUUGUUCGGAUUCACUGGGCGUAAAGGGUGCGCAGGUGGGUUUGCAAGUUUGAUGUGAAAGCCCCGGGCUUAACCCGGGAAUGGCAUUGAAUACUGCAGAUCUGGAGGAUUGGAGGGGGGACUGGAAUUCUUGGUGUAGCAGUGAAAUGCGUAGAUAUCAAGAGGAACACCAGUGGCGAAGGCGAGUCCCUGGACAAUACCUGACACUGAGGCACGAAAGCUAGGGAGCAAACAGGAUUAGAUACCCUGGUAGUCCUAGCUGUAAACGGUGCGCAUUUGCUGUAAACGGAAUCGACCCCGUUUGUGGCGAAGCUAACGCGAUAAAUGCGCCGCCUGGGAAGUACGGUCGCAAGAUUA